AUUGAACGCUGGCGGCAGGCCUAACACAUGCAAGUCGAGCGGAGCGGCGGACGGGUGAGUAAUGCCUAGGAAUCUGCCUGGUAGUGGGGGAUAACGUCCGGAAACGGGCGCUAAUACCGCAUCCUAUCAGAUGAGCCUAGGUCGGAUUAGCUAGUUGGUGGGGUAAAGGCCGACCAAGGCGACGAUCCGUAACUGGUCGGAGAGGAUGAUCAGUCACACGGGAACGGAGACACGGUCCAGACUCCUACGGGAGGCAGCAGUGGGGAAUAUUGGACAAUGGGCGCAAUCCUGAUCCAGCCAUGCCGCGUGUGUGAAGAAGGUCUUCGGAUUGUAAAGCACUUUAAGUUGGUAGACGUUACCAACAGAAUAAGCACCGGCUAAGUCCGUGCCAGCAGCCGCGGUAAUAC
rnacentral:rRNA from 1 species